CGCAUUUUGAUAGAUGAAUCGCAUCUAUAUAAAAGGACAGCUUUUGGAAUUGAUGGAUUAGUGUAGUGUACUCUACUCAUUGAAGCCGAAAUGAAGUUUUUGCUCUACAUAGGGUUUAUAACUGUUACUUUGAUACAGGUCAACUGCUAUAAACCUCGGGGAUACAGUGCCUACUAUGGUGAAUACGACAAACAUUAUGAUCGUUCAUAUGGUAAACGCUUUGGAGUCUACAACCAUGGAUAUGGUGCACCUUUACCUUCAAACGAUUGUGAUUCCCCUGUAAGACCAGAUGGACCGUUUCCAACUCCAGACUCUAAAGUUAAGCCAGACAGACGAUCAUUAAACGAUUUAUACAAACUCGCUUUGGAGGAAGGUGGUAAACUCGUAGUGUAUGCAGUGGUGAUGCUCCUGAUCAACAGGAUGGUAAUCGUGCCGGAUUUGAAGAGGCAUUUCCCGGCAUUACAGUGGAAAUUGUUGUCGAUUUGAGCAAAUAUCAUGACGCUAGAAUCGAUUAUCAAUUAGACACCGAUACGCUCGUAGUUGACGUUGCUCAGUUGCAAACCCUCCAAGAUUUCCCGCGUUGGAAAGACAAAGGGGUUCUUUUGAAUUACAAACCGAUAGGUUGGGAUCACAUUUACGCUGAUUUGAAGGAUGCUGAUGGAGCAUACACUGGUGUUUUUAUGGAUGCUUUUACAACCAACGUUAAUACACAAUUGCUUCCAAAUAAUCAAUCUUGGCCAGUAGAAGCCAAUGACUAUCUGAAGCCCGAAUUCAAAGACAAAUUGGUUGUUACCUAUCCGAAUGAUGAUGAUGCGGUACUUCUAUGGUUUAAGCAAGUGGUUGACAAAUAUGGAUUCGAAUAUUUGGAAAAAUUUAAAUUGCAAAAUCCGAAAUUGGUUCGUGGAACGGCAACUGCAAUUGCUAUGGUAGGCGAUUCCAGUCUUGGCUACGUAGCAACUAUGAGUGCUGAUGGAGGCUUGAACUCACAAGAAAAAUAUGGACCAACUCUUCCCAAGCUUAUCGUUCCGGAAAAAGAUCCAUUUGUAAUAUGGGCUCAAACUGCAGCCAUCUUCAAAAAAGCCAAACAUCCAGAAACUGCUAAGCUUUACAUUAGUUGGCUGCUUGAUAAAAAACAACAAGAGCAACCAGCAGCCUGGUCUUGGUCAGUUCGUGAUGACGUCGCUCCUCCAGCGCCAUUCAAAUCGAUUUGGAGUUAUCCGAAUGGGAAUCCAACGGCACUUUUGAAAUUCAUGAAGGAUCGUGAAGCGGUUGAAAUAUUCAGAAAUCAAGUUGGGUUCAUUUUCGGUCAAGUUCAAGGUAGUAAUCCCAAUGAACCGAAUGGACCUCUCGGUAUGCAUCCAGUUACCGGUUACAGGCCAGCAACAUCCAGGAAAUAAAUAAAAAAAAAAUCCAAAUCUGCUACUUCGUUCGAAUUUUGAAUAUUCGGAGAGAUCAUAAUAAAGCAAUUCACAGUAUUCAAUUUU